AUGUAUGUAUGUGUGGUGUUUAUUUCACAGAUCUGCUCAUAUGGUGUCGAGCUGCAGAGACUAGAUUUGGUUCAAAAUGUGACUAUAAACUGUGAUUUUGAUGUUAAGGAGGUUAAUUGGUUAUUAUUGAAACUACAAGAUCCUCCAGUUUUAAUAUUACACACUUUCUCUCCAGCUCGUUACUACAACAAUAGAUUCAGACACAAAUAUUCAGUGCAAUGUAAACCUCAUUUGUUCAUAAAUAAUGUCACUAUUGAUGAAUUAGGAUUUUAUUACUGUUUGACCACAGACACUCCUCCAAAAUACAGCGACGGCACCAGACUACACAUCACUGAACUGACUGAAAAAAAGCAAGAAUCAACACAAUGGCCGAUUACUGUCCUCGUAUCUGCUUUCAUAAAUGGUCUUCUGAUUAUUAUGAUCAUAGGCUUGGUGAAGAGCUACAUUGAUGUAGCUGGAAGAUCAAAAAAUUACACUGCAGCUAAAAACUCCAAUAAUCUCCAGUGUGCUGAAAUGGAUUUUCCCAGAAACAACAGAUCUUGCCCAGAGCUGAGUCUGAUUGUCUACACCCAAUGUAUGAUGUAG
rnacentral:lncRNA from 12 species